UGAUCAAAUAACAUGGGCGUGACUGCAGGAAUCAACAACAUGAUGCUGAUAAUCAAGCCAUUCCCACUACCGGGAGUGCGGUGUAUGAGCAGUUUGGCAAGGUCGUGUAAGGAAAAAACCGCGGAGAAACAAGCGGAGGAGGGGCAGAGGACGGGGUGGUGGAUGCCGGACCCACGUACCGGAAUAUAUUUUCCGAGGGGACAAGAGCGGGUGAUGGAUGAUAUCCCAAGUGGCGCUGCUUCGUUUGAUUGUACCUUCUGGUUAAGGGCCAUUGAUGGAGUUGAUGUUGAUCAUCAUCAUAAACAAGAUCCAUCAUCAUAUAAUUAAUAGUAUCUCUUCCAAACUC